CUGCUGCCUUCCGUAGGAGUUUGGACCGUGUCUCAGUUCCAAUGUGGGGGACCUUCCUCUCAGAACCCCUACGCAUCGUCGGCUUGGUGGGCCGUUGCCCCACCAACUACCUAAUGCGCCGCAUGCCCAUCCAUGACCGGGGUCGCCCCCUUUGACCGGCAGGGGAUGUCCCCUCCCGGCAUUAUGUUGUAUUAGGCGGGAUUUCUCCCGGUUAUCCAUCUGUCACGGCCAGGUUGCAUACGUGUUACUCACCCGUGCGCCGGUCGCCGG
rnacentral:rRNA from 1 species